UCCUGACUAAAAUUUGUGCCAGCAGUCGCGGUUAUACUUAAAGGGUAAAUAAAUACAAUUUGGUAUUAUAGUAAAUUAUUAGUUAAAUAAAAUUUAUUAUUUUUUAUAAAGGGUAAAAUCGGAAUUUAAUUAUAAUAAUAAUUUUAAAAAUAAAACAAAAACAAACUAUAAAUUUUAAUAUAUAAACUAGGAUUAGAUCCCCCUUU
rnacentral:rRNA from 1 species